rnacentral:misc_RNA from 1 species
GGAAAAAGUAUCUGUUGAAUAUUGAGAAUUAAAUACUUGUGCAGACAAGUAUGUCAACAAGAACCUGCGCAAAGCUGCACAUAAUUGAAGAUAAACAACCCCCAGGUGGUCUCUACCACUUCUGGUGUAGCUCAUUAAAUCAAAAAAGAAAGAUUUAAAUUCUAAAGGCCUGUUGGGAAAUCCCACAUUGAGAAUAUACAUAAUGAAAGUGUAUAAUAUAACUGGUUGAGUUAUAAUAUUAAAUUGACUAAUUAUUUUAAUGUAUAAACAGCUAAUCACUUAUAUGUGUGUGUAUUAAUAAUGAAUUAAAGUGUAAUAUUUCCAACACUUUCUCCGAAUUCAACAUGAUAUCAAAGCACAGAUUGAGUUGUGCAUUUCAACUACCUAAAGUUUGUGGUUGCACUUGAAGGGGAGUGUUGGGACACACUGAAAAUAUAAAUAAUGAUAGCGCAUGCCUAUUAUAAAUCACUUUCUCCAAAUUUAACAAGGCAUUUCAGGGAAAUUUACUGACUCAUGUGAGAAAUCUAAAAAAAGAUGAGAAGUGCCCCCAUGAAGAUAAAGAAGAAAAGUAGAGAAAGGAACGGACUACGAUGAAAAUCAUUCUUUAAAUGCUAACAAUGAUAAUUUUGCAAAACGUCACUAAAAGCAUAUAUUUAGGAUACUCACUGUUGUUGUAACAAUGCUAACUGGAAUAAUUGCUUCAAUAAAUGUACAAAACAACUUACUUACCAGCAUACUCAGGUGCAAGAUAGC